rnacentral:rRNA from 1 species
UACGGAGGGUGCAGGCGUUAUCCGGAUUCACUGGGUUUAAAGGGUGCGUAGGCGGGCCGGUAAGUCAGUGGUGAAAUCUCCGAGCUUAACUCGGAAACUGCCAUUGAUACUAUUUGUCUUGAAUAUUGUGGAGGUAAGCGGAAUAUGUCAUGUAGCGGUGAAAUGCUUAGAUAUGACAUAGAACACCAAUUGCGAAGGCAGCUUACUACACAAUGAUUGACGCUGAGGCGCGAAAGCGUGGGGAUCAAACAGG